UACGGAGGAUGCAAGCGUUAUCCGGAAUGAUUGGGCGUAAAGCGUCCGCAGGUGGCAAUGUAAGUCUGCUGUCAAAGCGUCUGGCUCAACCAGAUAAAGGCAGUGGAAACUACAUAGCUAGAGUAAGGUAGGGGUAGAGGGAAUUCCCGGUGUAGCAGUGAAAUGCGUAGAGAUCGGGAGGAACAUCAGUUGCGAAGGCGGCUCUCUGGACCAGUACUGACGCUGAGGCACGAAAGCGUGGGGAGCAAACAGG
rnacentral:rRNA from 1 species